rnacentral:lncRNA from 1 species
CCGCCUUCUCCCGGCGCGGCGAUUCCGGGCGGUCCCGCGGAUCCGGAACGCAGCCGGCCGGUGAAGCGGCGAUCGCACCGCCCCCUCCUCUGCCUCCUUCCCUCCCCCGGGCAGCGGCUGAGAAGCGGUGGUGCCGCCCCCUCCUGGCCCCGCGGCGGCGGAGCGAGCGCUUCAAUCUCCCGCGGCGGCCGCGUCGCUGCCCGAUGAUGCACCCGCUGCCAGCCCCGCGCCGACCUCACCCUCUCG